AAGUCGUAACAAGGUUUCCGUAGGUGAACCUGCGGAAGGAUCAUUAACACGUAUCCAACGUUAAACCCCCUGUGAACUUUCAUCGUGCUCUUGCAUCCUAGGAACAGCAAUCCUAGUAGGAGAAAAACGAACAACUGUUAACAAUGGAUAUCUUGGUUCUC
rnacentral:misc_RNA from 1 species